ensembl:lncRNA
GUAAUUACUCGUGGCCCUCGUGAAAUUCCUGCCCUUGUUUCUACAUUAAAAAUAACUUAAUUACAUUAAAAGAUGACCGACAGCCUUCAGAAUUUCAGUAAUUGUGUUUUUAGUGACAUGAGUUAAUCUGAGCUAGCUUGGAAGCUACACGGCUAGUGUUACGUCCCCUGUUCUGUGUAUAGGUUUGUGUAUGUGUUCUGUUUUGUGUGUGUGUUCAUACAGGUGGUACUGAUCAUCCAUGAUCUCCAUUCAUCUUGGCUCCACCCCCGCUCGUUACCCGGUUCAGCUGUUUCCACUCAUCUCCAAUCCCAUCAUGCCCUUCUGGGGAUGAGGAGUAGUUUAGCCCUACUCUGGA